rnacentral:rRNA from 1 species
GGCGGAGGAUGCAAGCGUUAUCCGGAAUGAUUGGGCGUAAAGCGUCCGCAGGUGGCAGUUCAAGUCUGCUGUCAAAGACCGGGGCUUAACUUCGGAAAGGCAGUGGAAACUGAACAGCUAGAGUAUGGUAGGGGCAGAGGGAAUUCCUGGUGUAGCGGUGAAAUGCGUAGAUAUCAGGAAGAACAUCGGUGGCGAAGGCGCUCUGCUGGACCAUAACUGACACUCAGGGACGAAAGCUAGGGGAGCGAAUGGG